ACACUGGCAGGCAGGGGAGAUGCCAUGAUCGCGGAGGUGGUUUUCCCAGGGCGGGGCUCACUCACCGCGCUGAGGGUGUGCUGCCCCCUUUGAUUUCCCCGAAUGUGGGAAACUCGAUGCAUAGUGUGUGGUAGUGGGGGACUGCGUGUUUGCUCUCCCCAC